CGAAUGGGGAAACCCACUAUAUUGAAGAUAUAGUAUCCGAAAGGAAGCGACCCCGGAGAACUGAAACAUCUAAGUACCCGGAGGAGAAGAAAACAAAAGUGAUUCCGAUAGUAGCGGCGAGCGAAAUCGGAUUAGUCCAAACCAAAGUUGUUACGGCAAUUUUGGGGUUGUAGGACCACGUUAUUGAAUGUUUUAUGAAUUAGAAUUCUUUGGAAAAAGAAACCAUAGAGGGUGAUAGUCCCGUAUAAGUAAAGACAAUUAUUGCAUAGUGGUAUCCUGAGUAGUGCGGGACAGGGAAUAAUGCCUGUAUGAAUCA
rnacentral:rRNA from 1 species